rnacentral:rRNA from 1 species
AUUGAACGCUGGCGGCAGGCCUAACACAUGCAAGUCGAGCGGAUGAGUGGAGCUUGCUCCAUGAUUCAGCGGCGGACGGGUGAGUAAUGCCUAGGAAUCUGCCUGGUAGUGGGGGACCACGUUUCGAAAGGAACGCUAAUACCGCAUACGUCCUACGGGAGAAAGCCGGGGACCUUCGGGCCUUGCGCUAUCAGAUGAGCCUAGGUCGGAUUAGCUAGUAGGUGAGGUAAUGGCUCACCUAGGCGACGAUCCGUAACUGGUCUGAGAGGAUGAUCAGUCACACUGGAACUGAGACACGGUCCAGACUCCUACGGGAGGCAGCAGUGGGGAAUAUUGGACAAUGGGCGAAAGCCUGAUCCAGCCAUGCCGCGUGUGUGAAGAAGGUCUUCGGAUUGUAAAGCACUUUAAGUUGGGAGGAAGGGCAGUAAGUUAAUACCUUGCUGUUUUGACGUUACCAACAGAAUAAGCACCGGCUAACUUCGUGCCAGUAGCCGCCGUAACAC